GAACGCUGGCGGCGUGCUUAACACAUGCAAGUCGAACGGAAAGGCCCUGCUUUUGUGGGGUGCUCGAGUGGCGAACGGGUGAGUAACACGUGAGUAACCUGCCCUUGACUUUGGGAUAACUUCAGGAAACUGGGGCUAAUACCGGAUAGGAGCUCCUGCUGCAUGGUGGGGGUUGGAAAGUUUCGGCGGUUGGGGAUGGACUCGCGGCUUAUCAGCUUGUUGGUGGGGUAGUGGCUUACCAAGGCUUUGACGGGUAGCCGGCCUGAGAGGGUGACCGGCCACAUUGGGACUGAGAUACGGCCCAGACUCCUACGGGAGGCAGCAGUGGGGAAUAUUGCACAAUGGGCGGAAGCCUGAUGCAGCAACGUCGCGUGCGGGAUGACGGCCUUCGGGUUGUAAACCGCUUUCGCCUGUGACGAAGCGUGAGUGACGGUAAUGGGUAAAGAAGCACCGGCUAACUACGUGCCAGCAGCCGCGGUGAUACGUAGGGUGCGAGCGUUGUCCGGAUUUAUUGGGCGUAAAGGGCUCGUAGGUGGUUGAUCGCGUCGGAAGUGUAAUCUUGGGGCUUAACCCUGAGCGUGCUUUCGAUACGGGUUGACUUGAGGAAGGUAGGGGAGAAUGGAAUUCCUGGUGGAGCGGUGGAAUGCGCAGAUAUCAGGAGGAACACCAGUGGCGAAGGCGGUUCUCUGGGCCUUUCCUGACGCUGAGGAGCGAAAGCGUGGGGAGCGAACAGGCUUAGAUACCCUGGUAGUCCACGCUGUAAACGGUGGGUACUAGGUGUGGGGUCCAUUCCACGGGUUCCGUGCCGUAGCUAACGCUUUAAGUACCCCGCCUGGGGAGUACGGCCGCAAGGCUAAAACUCAAAGGAAUUGACGGGGCCCCGCACAAGCGGCGGAGCAUGCGGAUUAAUUCGAUGCAACGCGUAGAACCUUACCUGGGUUUGACAUGGAUCGGGAGUGCUCAGAGAUGGGUGUGCCUCUUUUGGGGUCGGUUCACAGGUGGUGCAUGGCUGUCGUCAGCUCGUGUCGUGAGAUGUUGGGUUAAGUCCCGCAACGAGCGCAACCCUUGUUCACUGUUGCCAGCACGUUAUGGUGGGGACUCAGUGGAGACCGCCGGGGUCAACUCGGAGGAAGGUGGGGAUGACGUCAAGUCAUCAUGCCCCUUAUGUCCAGGGCUUCACGCAUGCUACAAUGGCUGGUACAGAGAGUGGCGAGCCUGUGAGGGUGAGCGAAUCUCGGAAAGCCGGUCUCAGUUCGGAUUGGGGUCUGCAACUCGACCUCAUGAAGUCGGAGUCGCUAGUAAUCGCAGAUCAGCAACGCUGCGGUGAAUACGUUCCCGGGGCUUGUACACACCGCCCGUCAAGUCAUGAAAGUUGGUAACACCCGAAGCCGGUGGCCUAACCGUUGUGGGGGAGCCGUCGAAGGUGGGACUGGUGAUUAGGAC
rnacentral:rRNA from 1 species